GACGAACGCUGGCGGCGUGCUUAACACAUGCAAGUCGAACGGAAAGGCCCUGCUUUUGUGGGGUGCUCGAGUGGCGAACGGGUGAGUAACACGUGAGUAACCUGCCCUUGACUUUGGGAUAACUUCAGGAAACUGGGGCUAAUACCGGAUAGGAGCUCCUGCUGCAUGGUGGGGGUUGGAAAGUUUCGGCGGUUGGGGAUGGACUCGCGGGUUAUCAGCUUGUUGGUGGGGUAGUGGCUUACCAAGGGUUUGACGGGUAGGCGGCCUUGGAGAGUGACCGGCCACAUUGGGACUGCGAGAGGGCCCAGACUCCUACGGGAGGCAGCGGUGGGGAACAUUGCGCAAUGGGCGGAAGUCUGAUGCAGCAGCGCCGCGUGCGGGAUGACGGCCUUCGGGUUGUAAACCGCUUUGGCCUGUGACGAGGCGAGAGUGACGGUAAUGGGUAAAAAAGCACCGGCUAACUACGUG
rnacentral:rRNA from 1 species